CACGUAGGGCGCAAGCGUUGUCCGGAAUUAUUGGGCGUAAAGAGCUCGUAGGCGGUCUGUUGCGUCCGCUGUGAAAACUCGGGGCUUAACCCCGAGCCUGCAGUGGAUACGGGCAGACUAGAGGUAGGUAGGGGAGAAUGGAAUUCCCGGUGUAGCGGUGAAAUGCGCAGAUAUCGGGAGGAACACCCGGUGGCGAAGGCGGUUCUCUGGGCCUUACCCUGACGCUGAGGAGCGAAAGCGUGGGG
rnacentral:rRNA from 1 species